ACCUUGAACCUGUAUUUGAACCAGGAAACGAACAACCAGAAAAUCCUGAAUUGGUACCAGAGCCAGGAAAUGAAGACACGGAACAAACCAGCGAAGAGCCAGCUGAAGAAUUGAAUGAAGAAAAAGAUAAACCGGAUAUCAUGAGCGAACUGCUUAAGAGCGAACAGUUCUGGAAGUUGAUUGGAGAAUGGACCGCGACAUACAUGGAACUUUUAGAGAAGCAUAUAAGAAAAAUUGCAAUCCAAGAAAUAUGCAACCGCGAGAAAUCUGGUGAACAGAUGUGCCUCCUGGAAGACAAACCUAAAGAUGAUGAUGGAGCUAUAACCAAUGACGGCAAGAUCAUUGUAGAUGGUAAAGAA